UGAGGUGAAGAGUGUUCGCCAGUUCCUGUCGUCACCAUCUGGAAUAUGAGUCUAGGAUUCCAGUGAACGUCGCUGACCCCUGAUUCAACUUA